rnacentral:rRNA from 1 species
UUCGCAAUGCCCGAAAGGGUGACGAAGCGACGCCGCGUGUGGGAAGAAGGCCUUCGGGUUGUAAACCACUGUCGGGAGUUAAGAAAUGCAAGGGUGUUAAUAGCGCCCUUGCUUGACUAAGGCUCCGGAGGAAGCCACGGCUAACUCUGUGCCAGCAGCCGCGGUAAUACAGAGGCGGCAAGCGUUGUUCGGAAUUAUUGGGCGUAAAGAGCACGUAGGCGGCCUUGUAAGUCAGUUGUGAAAGCCUUCUGCUUAACGGAAGAACAGCAGCUGAUACUGCAAGGCUAGAGUGCGGAAGGGGAGAGUGGAACUUCUGGUGGAGCGGUGAAAUGCGUAGAUAUCAGAAGGAACGCCGGCGGCGAAAGCGAUUCUCUGGCCUAUUACUGACACUCAGUGUGCGAAAGCUAGGGGAGCAAACGGGAUUAGAUACCCCGGUAGUCCUAGCCGUAAACGAUGGGCACUAAGUAGAGGGGUUUU